AUUGAACGCUGGCGGCAUGCCUUACACAUGCAAGUCGAACGGCAGCGGGGGAGCUUGCUCCUGCCGGCGAGUGGCGAACGGGUGAGUAAUGCAUCGGAACGUGUCCUGUUGUGGGGGAUAACUGAUCGAAAGAUCAGCUAAUACCGCAUGAGACCUGAGGGUGAAAGCGGGGGAUCGCAAGACCUCGCGCGACAGGAGCGGCCGAUGUCUGAUUAGCUAGUUGGUGAGAUAAAAGCUUACCAAGGCGACGAUCAGUAGCUGGUCUGAGAGGAUGAUCAGCCACAUUGGGACUGAGACACGGCCCAGACUCCUACGGGAGGCAGCAGUGGGGAAUUUUGGACAAUGGGGGAAACCCUGAUCCAGCCAUGCCGCGUGCGGGAUGAAGGCCUUCGGGUUGUAAACCGCUUUUGUCAGAGACGAAAAGGGACGUACGAAUAAUACGUUCCGCUGACGGUAUCUGAAGAAUAAGCACCGGCUAACUACGUG
rnacentral:rRNA from 1 species